GUGUGUGUGUGUUUGGAGGGAUGAAAGGAUUGAGCAAAAAAUAAAAAGAGAAAGAACUCUGACCCACCUUCCCUCAGAUGAGCUGAGAGUAGAGAGGCCGGGCUUCCUCCCCAUGGAGAGGUGGUUACGAAAGGAGCCUCACCUAGACUGUCCUUGCCUCACAUUU
rfam:Myotis lucifugus cont2.11051, whole genome shotgun sequence.